UCGAAACCUGCCCAGCAGAACGACCAGCGAACAUGUUUAUACAUUUGGUGGGGAGGGGUUGCUGGUUCGCCAGUCCUUCCCCAGCGCCGGGGGGUGCUCCUUUGGUGGUGCUCCCUGGCACAAUAACAAAACCCCGGCGUGUAUGCGCCAAGGUAUGUAAAACACGAGAGUGCCUAUCCUUGCUCGGGCAUCUGUGCAAUGAUUUGGCACCUUAUCUAAGACAUAAAAUGACUCUCGGCAACGGAUAUCUCGGCUCUCGCAUCGAUGAAGAACGUAGCGAAAUGCGAUACUUGGUGUGAAUUGCAGAAUCCCGUGAACCAUCGAGUUUUUGAACGCAAGUUGCGCCCGAAGCCUUCUGGCCAGGGCACGCCUGCCUGGGCGUCACGCAUAGCGUCUCUCACCCAACCAACAAGUGUGGGAUGGAGANGGANUGAUGGCCUCCCAUGCCUCACCAGGCAUGGAUGGCCUAAAUAUGGAACCCUCGGACAUGAAAUGUUGCGGCAAUAGGUGGUACAAAAGGCAUUUGCCUCGAAAGCAUCGUGCUGUGCAUCUUGUUGUCUAUUUGGGGUUUGAAGGACCCUAACAAACCUUUGCGACCCCAGGUCAGGCGGGGUUACCCG
rnacentral:rRNA from 1 species